rnacentral:tRNA from 2 species
GGGAUCUUAGCUCAGCUGGGAGAGCAUCUGCCUUACAAGCAGAGGGUCACAGGUUCGAGCCCUGUAGAUCCCA